rnacentral:tRNA from 1 species
GCUCCCAUCGUCUAGUGGCCUAGGACGCCGCCCUCUCAAGGCGGUAACACGGGUUCAAAUCCCGUUGGGAGUACAA